UGAGGAAUAUUGCACAAUGGGCGCAAGCCUGAUCCAGCAAUGCCGCGUGCAGGAUGAAGGCCUUCGGGUUGUAAACUGCUUUUGUACGGAGCGAAAAGGUCUGCCCUAAUACGGUGGGCUCAUGACGGUACCGUAAGAAUAAGCACCGGCUAACUACGUGCCAGCAGCCGCGGUAAUACGUAGGGUGCGAGCGUUAAUCGGAAUUACUGGGCGUAAAGCGUGCGCAGGCGGUUAUAUAAGACAGAUGUGAAAUCCCCGGGCUCAACCUGGGACCUGCAUUUGUGACUGUAUAGCUAGAGUACGGUAGAGGGGGAUGGAAUUCCGCGUGUAGCAGUGAAAUGCGUAGAUAUGCGGAGGAACACCGAUGGCGAAGGCAAUCCCCUGGACCUGUACUGACGCUCAUGCACGAAGGCGUGGGGAGCAAACA
rnacentral:rRNA from 1 species